rnacentral:rRNA from 1 species
GGGCCCGCACAAGCGGUGGAGCAUGUGGUUUAAUUCGAUGCAACGCGAAGAACCUUACCUACUCUUGACAUCCCAGAGAACUUUCCAGAGAUGGAUUGGUGCCUUCGGGAACUCUGAGACAGGUGCUGCAUGGCUGUCGUCAGCUCGUGUUGUGAAAUGUUGGGUUAAGUCCCGCAACGAGCGCAACCCUUAUCCUUGUUUGCCAGCGAGUCAUGUCGGGAACUCCAGGGAGACUGCCGGUGAUAAACCGGAGGAAGGUGGGGACGACGUCAAGUCAUCAUGGCCCUUACGAGUAGGGCUACACACGUGCUACAAUGGCGCAUACAGAGGGCAGCCAACUUGCGAAAGUGAGCGAAUCCCAAAAAGUGCGUCGUAGUCCGGAUUGGAGUCUGCAACUCGACUCCAUG